AAAUGCGAUAGGUAGUGUGAAUUGCAGAAUUCAGUGAAUCAUCGAAUCUUUGAACGCACAUUGCGCCCUUUGGUAUUCCAAAGGGCAUGCCUGUUCGAGCGUCAUUUGUACCCUCAAGCUUUGCUUGGUGUUGGGCGUCUUGUCUCUAGCUUUGCUGGAGACUCGCCUUAAAGUAAUUGGCAGCCGGCCUACUGGUUUCGGAGCGCAGCACAAGUCGCACUCUCUAUCAGCAAAGGUCUAGCAUCCAUUAAGCCUUUUUUCAACUUUUGACCUCGGAUCAGGUAGGGAUACCCGCUGAACUUAAGC
rnacentral:misc_RNA from 1 species